AGCAGCGUGGCUCAGUGGAAAGAGCACUGGCUUUGGAGUCAGAGGUCAUGAGUUUGAAUCCCAGCUCUGCCA
rnacentral:tRNA from 1 species